rnacentral:RNase_P_RNA from 2 species
ACGGAAGAUCGGGCAGUCGCUCCGGGUUUUACCGGAGAGGAAAGUCCGGGCACCACAGGACAGGAUACCCUUUUACACGGGGGCUCGCAAGAGUACGGAAAGUGCCACAGAGAAUAGACCGCUCUACGAGUCUGUAAAUCCUACAUUCUCGUGGGGUGAGAGGUGAAAAGGUGGGGUAAGAGCCCACCGUCCCGAUUAUUUGUCGGGAGCUGGUAAACCCUAUCCGGUGCAAGACCAAGCAGGGAGAAUUCUUCAUACGAAGAGGAAGUGGUCCGCUUCCAUUCUCCCGGGUGGGUCGCUCAAUGUUCCGAUCUAAUCGGGACCAGAUAAAUGGCUGCCUCUCCCUAACGGGAAAGACAGAACCCGGCUUACAGAUCUUCCGUCUAU